rnacentral:rRNA from 1 species
CGAACCGGGGCUUGCCCCGGGGCAGAGCCGCGAACGGGUGAGUAACACGUGGGUAACCCACCUCGAUGAUUGGGACAACCCGGGGAAACUCGGGCUAAUACCAAAUGUGCUCGUAGACCAUGAGGUCCAUGAGGAAAGAUAGCUUCGGCCUUCGCAUCGAGACGGGCCCGCGGCCCAUUAGCUUGUUGGUGAGGUAACGGCUCACCAAGGCGACGAUGGGUAGCUGGUCUGAGAGGACGAUCAGCCACACUGGGACUGAGACACGGCCCAGACUCCUACGGGAGGCAGCAGUGGGGAAUCUUGCGCAAUGCGCGAAAGCGUGACGCANCAACGCCGCGUGGAGGAAGACGGUCUUCGGAUUGUAAACUCCUUUCAGUUGGGACGAAGCUCAACGGGUUAAUAGUCCGGCGGAGUGACGGUACCUUCAGAAGAAGCCCCGGCUAACUACGUGCCAGCAGCCGCGGUAAUACGUAGGGGGCUAGCGUUGUCCGGAAUCAUUGGGCGUAAAGCGCGUGUAGGCGGUCCGGUAAGUCCGCUGUGAAAGUCGGGGGCUC